UGCUCACAGAAUCUGGCAAAAAGAGGGCUGAUGCUGCAAACCCACACAUACCUAAAAGGUACACUGCCCAAGCAAUGUAAACACGUGCCAGGUUGGUACCAGAACCCUCCAGCACAAGCACAUUCCACACAGAUAACAAGGAACAGGCUGACCCACCCUAAAGAGAGGGUCAAAAGGAUAAUAUGAGGGCUAGAGUUGUUUUGUUCGAACCAACAUGCACCAGGAGACAGCA